CGUAGGCGGCGGACCUUGUCGAGUGUGAAAGCCCCGGGCUCAACCUGGGAGGUGCGCUCGAGACGGGUUUGCUGGAGUUCGGGAGAGGAGAGUGGAAUUCCCAGUGUAGAGGUGAAAUUCGUAGAUAUUGGGAAGAACACCGGUAGGCGAAGGCGGCUCUCUGGACCGAGACUGACGCUGAGGCGCGAAAGCGUGGGGAGACAAACAGGAUUAGAUACCCUGGUAGUCCACGCUGUAAACGAUAGUGUGCUAGACGUUGGGGAGCGUAGCUCUUCGGUGUCGCCGCAAACGCUUUAAGCACACCGCCUGGGGGAUACGGCCGCAAGGUUAAA
rnacentral:rRNA from 1 species